UCCUACGGGGGGCAGCAGUGGGGGAUAUUGCACAAUGGGGGAAACCCUGAUGCAGCGACGCCGCGUGUGGGAAGACGGUCCUCUGGAUUGUAAACCACUGUCCCCAGGGACGAAGAUGACGGUACCUGGGGAGAAAGCUCCGGCUAACUACGUGCCAGCAGCCGCGGUAAUACGUAGGGAGCGAGCGUUGUCCGGAAUUACUGGGCGUAAAGGGCGCGUAGGCGGGAACUUAAGUUAGAUGUGAAAACUCCGGGCUUAACCUGGAGACUGCAUUUAAAACUGGGUUUCUUGAGGGCAGGAGAGGA
rnacentral:rRNA from 1 species